rnacentral:misc_RNA from 1 species
GGGAAAUGACUCGUAUUUCCUUCCCAAAAAGUGGAUCUAUCCAUCCCCUCCUGCAGACAAGGCUGUAAAUAAAUUUUAUUAUUUUCUCUUUUGCUUGCAGAUUGACAUUGAUUGGAGAAGGAUAUACAUAGAUCUGCUUUGAUUUCCUAGGUUUGUUGCCUCUCUACUUUGGUUGGUUUUGAAAGAGACUUUGGUGACCAUGAUGUGUUGAGUGGUUAGCAGUGGCCAGUGGAUCUUUAGCCGAGAGAGAAUGAACCCUCUUCUGUCUUCUAUCUAGUUUUCCUCCUCUUAGUGAAGAUUGGUUUUAGAAACAUCUGAGUCAACAUGUGUGCUCUUUUUGGUUUAGCAAUGCUUCGGAUCAGUUUGGUUUGGUUAGUGGAUGCUCGUGGGGUUCAAAUUAGAAGUUUGACUCAGAAGGCGUGAGUGGAACGCUGAAGAGCCCCACCGUUGCCAUCCUCAACCCCUUGUUUCCGAUGAGAUUUUUCCCUUGCUUACCCUGAGUUCCAGCUGCUGUCCUUAUGUUUUUUGGUUUUUGAAAUGAGAUGUCCUUUAAUGCAAUAGACUUGUAGAUGGGUAUGUGAGUCUAUCCUUCCCUUCUGAGUACUUUCUUCCACGAGAAGCGUUGGCAUUUUAAUGACGUAACAACACAGUGAACGGCAAUCUUCUACCUCUAAUUUACCUAGGGUUAUUUUUGUGGCUUGAGUCCUGUUUGGUUUUGGAUAGGUUAAGUUGCUAGUCUUGUACUAUUUGCAUGAGUCUUUUAUUAGUAGUCUUCUGGGCUAGUAUUUGAGCCAAUCCUACUUUGCAUUGUGAUGAUUUGGGUUCAGUUUCUGCUUUCAAAAGGCUUGUUUUUAACGACUUUGUCACCGGGCAAUCAACUGUCUGAGGAGGGAGUGAAUGGGUCUGAUUCAAAAAUGC